GUUUUCAGAGAGGACUCAUAAAUAAGCUGGCUGUAGAGGACUCUGGAGACAGUGUUAAGGAGGAGACACCAUAAGCUCUGUCCUCCUGUCCUUUCUUACCACACCAUGUGGAAGAACAGAUAUGCUCAGCUGUACCUUUUUUCAGUUCUUCUUGCCUUCCUGCCUUCUGCAUCUUCACUCAAUGGAGACCCGAAGUAUAUGGUGCUGGUCCCUUCUCAGCUCUACACUGAGACCCCUGAGAAAAUCUGCUUCCAUCUAUACCAUCUGAAUGAGACAGUGACCGUCACAGCUUCCUUGGUGUCUCAAUCAAGAUGGAGAAACCUGUUCGAUGAGCAUAUCACAGAUUUCUUGGUAUCUCAAUUGGAAAGGAGAAACCUGUUCGAUGAGCUUGUGGUUGACAAGGACUUGUUCCAAUGUGUUUCCUUCAUUAUCCCUACACUCAACUCUCCUGAUGAGGAGGAGUUUCUCUACGUGGACAUCAAAGGGCCAACCCACGAAUUCAGCAAAAGGAAAGCAGUGCUUGUGAAGAACAAAGAAAGUGUUGUCUUUGUCCAGACAGAUAAGCCCGUGUACAAACCAGGACAAUCAGUUAAAUUUCGGGUUGUCUCUAUGGAUAAAACUCUACACCCCCUGAAUGAGUUGCUCCCUCUGGCUUACAUUGAGGAUCCGAAAAAGAACCGAAUUAUGCAGUGGAGGGAUAUUAAGACUGAGAAUGGGCUUAAGCAAAUGUCCUUCAGCCUGGCAGCAGAGCCCAUUCAGGGCCCCUACAAGAUAGUGGUGCACAAACAGUCAGGGGAGAUGGAAGAACACUCCUUUACUGUGUUGGAAUUUGUGCUUCCCAGAUUUAAUGUCGACCUGAAGGUUCCAAAUGCCAUCUCUGUGAAUGAUGAAGUGCUCCAAGUGACUGCAUGUGGGAAAUAUACCUAUGGGAAGCCUGUUCCAGGACAGGUGAAGAUAAGUAUCUGCCAUGAGACUGAAGCUGGAUGCAAAGAAGUCAAUUCCAAGACACUGAGAAAAUCCACUCGCUCGCUGGCCUGGUUUUGACAAGUGGCAAUCGCAUAUCUGUCUCUUGAAUCUUCUUUCGGCCUUUCCAAUAUUCACCGUAACUCUCACAGCCCUGGUUCCCAUGUUGACUGGCUGGCUGACUCUGGCAUCUGUAGAUAUCAGCAAGUAGUAUGAUGUGGAGCCUUGCUGAUUAGGAUUCUACUAUGUUCAUCUUACUAACUUUCAGGUAGGGAGCAGCUCUCUGAGUCAGCAAAGGCUGACCAGCUAACAGGAAGUGCAGGGUUAUAAUCGGUGGGGAUCACAAGAUGAGGUCUGAAGACUGGACUUUAUGUAACCCUGACAUAUUUGUGUUUGUCUGCAAAUAGCUGGCUGUGAUCAAUGUGAAUUUGGUCAUUUGUAACAGCUUAUCAAUGUUUAUGGAAUUCACAUCCUUGGCCACAUCUUACACCUAUAGGCAGUUGAUAAAGUAGUCUGUUCCACCCACCCAUCCAGGCAGUCAUAGAACAGCAGGUAAUUAUAAUAAGGACUUGAAUCUUGGUUCUGUGAUGCCCUGGAUCAUUUCCCUUCCACUAUCCACUUACUGGUGAGGCCCAUUCCUUCUGUUGUAAUUUAUAAUCCAUGGCCAGGUCAAAAGUAUCAUCAUCAGGGUAAUUUAUAAGGGAAAACAUCAAUUUUUGAGGAUCCCAGUCAAGAAAAUUAGAGUUUGUGAACAUUAUUGAAAUCAUGGCAACAAGCAGAGAGUUCUGAUUCUAAAGAGGUGCUAAGAACUCACCUCUGAUCAUGAAGUAUGAGAUAGUAGAUAGAUAGAUGGAUAGAUAGAUAGAUAGAUAUAGAUAGAUAGGUAGGUAGGUAGAUAGAUAGAUAGAUAGAUAGAUAGAUAGAUAGAUAGAUAGAUAGAUAGAUAGAUACUAUUCACUGAGAAUAGCUUUUUCACUAAUUGGCCCAUCCCUCACUAACAAAUCACCUCCAAUCAAGCAAUACCUCCUAAUCAUUCCCACAGAGCUUCACUAACUGGGGAUCAAAGUACUAAAAUCUUAUGUGUCCAGGGAGUCAUUUACAUCCAGCUCCCAAUAUUGUCUGCAGACUUGGAAGAGGAGCCCCUUAGGGAAGCAUCCUACUGGCUUCUGAUGUUGAAUUCUUACACUUUUGUGAUCUGCAUGCAUUUCAGAGAGCAGAACUAACUCCCAUGUCUCUUUUCUCAUGUAGACACUUCAGAAAACCUCCCCAAGAAUUGCAGAUUUGUCCCUCUAUGAUUGUCUUAGGGCUGAGUUCUCAAUCUUCCUAAUAUUGUGGCCCUUUGGUACAGUUCCUCAUGUUGUGGUGACCCCCAACCAUAAAAUUAUUUUUGCUUCUACUUCAUAA
rnacentral:lncRNA from 1 species